rnacentral:rRNA from 1 species
AGGGAAGCAAGACCGCGAGGUGGAGCAAAUCCCUAAAAGCCAUCCCAGUUCGGAUUGCAGGCUGCAACCCGCCUGUAUGAAGUUGGAAUCGCUAGUAAUCGCGGAUCAGCAUGCCGCGGUGAAUACGUUCCCGGGCCUUGUACACACCGCCCGUCACACCAUGAGAGUCGGGAACACCCGAAGUCCGUAGUCUAACCGCAAGGGGACGCGGCCGAAGGUGGGUUCGAUAAUUGGGGUGAAGUCGUAACAAGGUACC